rnacentral:rRNA from 1 species
AUCAACUUUCGAUGGUAGGAUAGAGGCCUACCAUGGUGGUAACGGGUAACGGGGUGUUAGGGCACGACACCGGAGAGGGAGCCUGAGAAACGGCUACCACAUCCAAGGAUGGCAGCAGGCGCGCAAAUUACCCAAUCCCGACACGGGGAGGUAGUGACAAUAAAUAACAAUACGGGGUUCUUUCGGAUUUCGUAAUUGGAAUGAGUACAAUUUAAAUCUCUUAACGAGGAACAAUUGGAGGGCAAGUCUGGUGCCAGCAGCCGCGGUAAUUCCAGCUCCAAUAGCGUAUAUUAAAGUUGCUGCAGUUAAAAAGCUCGUAGUUGAAUUUCGGGACUAAUAUGUUGGUCGUGCCUCGGUACGUACUGGUAUUUUUGGUUUCUCCCUUCUGACGAACCUUGAUGUCAUUAAUUUGGUGUCUUGGGAAAUCAGGACUGUUACUUUGAAAAAAUUAGAGUGUUUAAAGCAGGCUCACGCUUGAAUACAUUAGCAUGGAAUAAUGAAAUAGGACGUUUGAUUCUAUUUUGUUGGUUUCUAGGAUCGACGUAAUGAUUAAUAGGGAUAGUUGGGGGCAUUAGUAUUCAAUUGUCAGAGGUGAAAUUCUUGGAUUUAUUGAAGACUAACUACUGCGAAAGCAUUUGCCAAGGAUGUUUUCAUUAAUCAAGAACGAAAGUUAGGGGAUCGAAGACGAUCAGAUACCGUCGUAGUCUUAACCAUAAACUAUGCCGACUAGGGAUCGGAUGAUGUUAAUUUUUUAAUGACUCAUUCGGCGCCUUACGGGAAACCAAAGUGUUUGGGUUC